rnacentral:rRNA from 1 species
AUUGAACGCUGGCGGCAGGCCUAACACAUGCAAGUCGAGCGGAUGAAGGGAGCUUGCUCCUGGAUUCAGCGGCGGACGGGUGAGUAAUGCCUAGGAAUCUGCCUGGUAGUGGGGGAUAACGUCCGGAAACGGGCGCUAAUACCGCAUACGUCCUGAGGGAGAAAGUGGGGGAUCUUCGGACCUCACGCUAUCAGAUGAGCCUAGGUCGGAUUAGCUAGUUGGUGGGGUAAAGGCCUACCAAGGCGACGAUCCGUAACUGGCCUGAGAGGAUGAUCAGUCACACUGGAACUGAGACACGGUCCAGACUCCUACGGGAGGCAGCAGUGGGGAAUAUUGGACAAUGGGCGAAAGCCUGAUCCAGCCAUGCCGCGUGUGUGAAGAAGGUCUUCGGAUUGUAAAGCACUUUAAGUUGGGAGGAAGGGCAGUAAGUUGAUACCUUGCUGUUUUGACGUUACCAACAGAAUAAGCACCGGCUAACUUCGUG